GGAGAAACACAUGAGGAUGACGUCAGUGUCCGGGUACGAGAGAGGACGGAGACGAUCGUAAUCUUCUUGUCCUGCCGUGUCCCAUAGUGCCAGCUCCACCUACACACACAGACACGUACAUUAAACUUCUACUCUUCCUCAGCUAUUUCACUUAACCAAUGAGGCUACGCUGAUGUUCUCAGUAAUGCAGAAGACACUGAAGCCAGGCCUGCCGAGGAGGUUCGUUUGUUCUCAAGAUAUUAGCUAAUUGAAGUGGGACAUAGCACACUGCAUAACAUACAUUUAUGCCUGUGGUCUGUUUUACCUGUUUGCUAUCCACCUCGAUGUCAGCCACAUAGUUUUCAAACACGGUGGGCACGUACACCUCGGGGAACUGGUCCUUACUGAAGACGAUGAGGAGGCAAGUCUUGCCACAUGCACCAUCUCCAACAAUCACCAGCUUCUUACGGAUCGCAGCCAUCUCUCUAGAUGAACACAGCAUCCGUGUUAGAAACACCAACCGGAACACACUCGCUGGAUAGAUGAAGAGAGAGCGAGAGAAAUGUUUCACAGCUAAAUCGUGAUCAUGGUUAAUUGCUUUUGGUGAAAAGGUCCAAAAGCCCCUGGGAGGAAAACUUCACUCCCUUGCUGCUGAUUAAUGAGGAGAAUACAGAUGUCUGACAUCAUAACAGAAGGAAAGCUGUGGUUCCUCAAAUGCAGGGCUGAUUAAAGGCUGAAAUACCUUCUUCUUCUUCUUCUUCUUCUACAACACCUGAAGUCUCAACCAAAUGCACAAUAGACCAAUGAACUGAAAUGAAGAAAUUCUUCCUUAUACUUUGCUCAUCUGGGAAGUCGUCAGUCUCAGUGACUUGUAGGGACACAGAGGCAGGAAUGAAUGACUAGGGGCCAUUAUGGAGUAGCUUCUAGAGUGUUUUUGGGAGAUAGAGAAUGUAAUAUUUUGUUGUGUUUAAUCUGUUUAUAUAUUUAUUUAGUGUGAUGUUUCAGUUUAAUGUUGAUAAAUGGACACAACACUUAGGUGUUUUAUUUGGUCACUGAAUUUAUUCUUAUUUAUUUAACGGAGUGACAAAACCGAUCGGGACUCGUCCGCACCUACGCCGUGUCGCUGUGCCGUCGUUAUCUUCAAGGCAUCGUUUAUUUUCUUUAGUUUAAUCAGAUCGUUCAUUACCACGUCCCUACCUUCACUUCUUAUUCACUGUGUACUUUGUGCAAAUUCAGUGCUUCUGACUGCAGUCUCGUUAACGGACCAAUCGGAAGUACAUUAGUUCUUGAUCUCUAGUUUUUCUGCUUCGAUUCUGCAGUAACUCUAAGGAACUGAAUAAGGUUUAGGGUUUACGUUGAUUACAAGCCUGUGUCACUGCCUACUUCUGUGGUAAUGAUGUGAUAGCGGGUGCAUUAUUACUGGUUAAUGCUGUACAUGUCAUAGUGUUUACAUCUGUUUACAAAUGCUCUAAAGAAAAAAGAACUUUUGUAUAAUUUUUACAUUUCUAUCUAUCUAUCUAUCUAUCUAUCUAUCUAUCUAUCUAUCUAUCUAUCUAUCUAUGUCUAACUGUAAUAAAUGGUUGGCUUUUGAUUAAUAAACAGUGAGACUAGUGACAUCCUGAGAGAGACAGAUAGUCCUCUCUCUCUUAUCACAGACAGAAUGACAGAUUUUUUUUUUAAAUACUUUAACUUUUUGAGUUUUGGGUCCUUUUGGCUGUGCAGACAGGCUCCUUAUGUCAAGGGUCAGUAAACAAACUCUUUAGUUUGUAAUUCAUUAUUAUAUUAUAUUACAGAACCACAUUUUGAAAAAAUUAAAUUAAGGAAUGACUGAUGAUGAUGAUGAUGAUGAUGAUGAUGAUGAUGAAGAAGACAACGAGGGCAGGCCCAUGUCUCGUAUUCUUCACACCACUGAAAUCUGAUUGCACAACACACAGACUCCGGUGGAAUGAAGGAUAGGAAGCAUGGAUGAGUGGAUGCACAGUGAGCCUGGGAUUAUACAGCCUUCUGGGGAAAAAUAGAAAAAUAACAUUUAUUUUAUAUAUAAAUACAGAGAGAGAAAGAGAGAGAAUCACGUUUAUACAGACAUUUAUAAUGGAAUGUAGUAGAGACCUGCAUGAGCACCAAGUGUAUGUGUGUGUGUGUGUGUGUGUGGAGGGACAAGGCGAGACGAGACAUGUCACACUCCGGUCGUGUCGCUACAGGCUUCAAUACUCCUGUAGCUGAAAAAAAAAGUGCCGAGGCAGCUGCUUUACACAGAAGAGACUGAAACAGCACACACACUCUCUCAUACACUCACUACAUUCACUCACACACUCUCUCAUACACACUCACACACCGACCUGAAGGUAUUUAUGAAACGCUUUCCUCGUUUUUUAACAGACUUUCAUUCCUCAGCUUCCUCACCUGGUCCAUCAUUUUCACUCCUGCAAACACAAUAAAAGAUUUAAACAAACAAUAAAGAACAACAAGACGAACAAGUCGAUAAACGACGUCUGGAGCAGAAAGCUCGCAAUGGAACGAUUCCUCUGUAACAAAUUACACAAUCUAGAAAAGCAAAAAAGGGGAAGAGGAGACAAGAGGAAGUCUGCAAUCUGUUAGUAAAGAAAGAGAAAGAAAAGGGGGGAAGCAGUACCAGAAGAUGUGUGCAGCUGACGUGAAGCAUGCCGUAUCUCUUUACCUGCCUCAGGUACACACCAUUUAGCUGACUCCGUCCACCAAUCGGAUUGUAACAUUUUCCAUAAACCCCACCCACUUUCCCUCCCUUUUUGAACAGAACACAGGCUCCACACCCUCUCAGGUGUGUGUGUGUGUGCGCGCGCGAGAGGGCGAACGAAGACGCAAGUUGUUGUACCAAGUAAAACAGGUUAAAUGUCAGAUAGUUUAAGGUUCUUUCUGGAAACACACAAAAAUAUUAAAGCUGAAAUUUACAAAGCACCAGAUUAUUAAAAUGUCUGUUCAGGCUGUUCGCUAAUACGCUACUUAGUACUUAAUGUAUGACAUAAGCAUCAGGGAAGCUCUUAUAAACUCUAGCUGUGUGUUGGAGAUAACGUCGUGUUUGUGGAUCGACUUCGCCGUCUGAAAAUCUAAACAAAUAAAGUAAAUAAGAAAUAACGAUCUUCUUGCUAAAGUGGAUUGUGUUUAUAAUAUAGUGUAUAAUAUUUGUAUAAUUAACCAACGAUAAAAGCUCCAAAUGUCUGUGCAUUUCACCAUCACACGUCUUCUGUGUAAUUAUAAACCCCAGAAGAGUUUUAAUCCCAUUUUUUAGUGCAGUGUUGUUGAGACCUAUUCAGUGUCGAGAGUUUUUCAGAUUUAUGCAUGUGUGGAAAAACUUAGGAGGAAGUGUAGCUUAUUGAGCGGCUCUUUAUCUGCUCUCCACCCUUCUCUUUCUCUUUUCUUCACAGACUGGCGGCUGUGAGCUUGUCUCGACUCGUCCGAUCAGGAAUGCGCUCACUUUCUCAGGUGUAGAGCUGAAGAGGUGAAUCAGGUCUUGCCUAAUUUGGGCGAAAAAAGAAAGCCAGCCUGCAAGUUUCAUCAGGUCCCUCUGACGAGCUCCACGAGAGAGCUCCAGGCUUCAGGAGUCACACAGUGCACAGGAGAAGAAAAUAAAAAGGCCUGAUGUGAUGUUCAUGACACUCACAUGGCUUUGUAGUGGACACAGACGCUGACUGUCCACUUUAUUAGGAACCAUUAAUACCACUAAGACCCGUUGCUCUUAGCAGCCUCACGACAUCAUGCCGUGUGUGUGGGAAACAUAUCUGCGGUGUGUUGACACGAUUGCAUCACGUUAUUGCUGCAAGACUGCACUCUACUUCAGCACCUUAUUAGGACAGAUGGAAUGUUUAAAUGUUGUAUUAUUUCAGUUCUCUAGGUGUGUUUAACAGUGACUAAAACUCUAAAGGAACAUUUAUCACACUGCUUUACCACUGUAAUGUUGAUAAUGACAAGAACACGCACGUGUGUGUGUGUGUGAGUGUGUGUGUGUAUGUAAGUGUGUGUGCUCUUGUGAAUGUAUGUGUGUGCAUGUAUGUGUGUGUGUGUGUGUGUGAAUGUAUG